UUUUUAUGUUACAGUAUUUUAACAAUGAGAGCAGCAACGGCACCUCCCAUGAGAAAUCUGCAUGCACAAACAGCAUGGAGACCUACCAUGGCACAGCCUCGGUAUGCUGCCAGCCUGGUGUCACCUGAACAGACAUUAGAGAUGUGAACCUGCCGUUGGCAUCAUGGUCAGGGCUUUGCAGCAACAGCGGGGAGCCAUUCAAAAUGGAGUGUGGGAAAGGGCGGCAGUCUGGUCGGCGGGAGCGUGCAGUUGUCCAGGUACAGGCGAUACCCGGCCCACGCAGGUACACACCCACACACACAGAACAGACAUGGUGGGAUGACAACACUGGCAGGUGAGACAUGUUUGUGUGUGUGAGUGCUCUAAUAGAUUAUCGAUGCACUGCUGUGCCAGUUGGUUGGCUGAGCCAGGAGCUGGAAAUGGGAUGAGAGUCCCUUGUUGAAAGACAGACACACACACACCUGCUAGGGUUCUUAUAGAAAGCUGAGCUCCAUUCUGUCUCUACUCAGGGGAGAUGAAAGAGAAAAGAGGAGGAGGGAGGAUGCAGAGUGGAGGAAGGAGAGAGGAGGGGGAGAGUGAGGAAGAAAGAGAGGAGGAGGGAGCCGGUCACUCAGACAGA